UAAUUGAGUUACAUAAUUCUAU
rnacentral:snRNA from 1 species